rnacentral:rRNA from 1 species
GACGAACGCUGGCGGCGUGCCUAAUACAUGCAAGUCGAGCGAAGUUUUUCUGGUGCUUGCACUAGAAAAACUUAGCGGCGAACGGGUGAGUAACACGUAAAGAACCUGCCUCAUAGACUGGGACAACUAUUGGAAACGAUAGCUAAUACCGGAUAACAGCAUUAACUGCAUGGUUGAUGUUUAAAAGUUGGUUUUGCUAACACUAUGAGAUGGCUUUGCGGUGCAUUAGCUAGUUGGUGGGGUAAAGGCCUACCAAGGCGACGAUGCAUAGCCGACCUGAGAGGGUGAUCGGCCACACUGGGACUGAGACACGGCCCAGACUCCUACGGGAGGCAGCAGUAGGGAAUCUUCCGCAAUGGGCGAAAGCCUGACGGAGUAACGCCGCGUGAGUGAAGAAGGAUUUCGGUUCGUAAAGCUCUGUUGUUAGGGAAGAAUGAUUGUGUAGUAACUAUACACAGUAGAGACGGUACCUAACCAGAAAGCCACGGCUAACUACGUG